UAGGGAAUCUUCCGCAAUGGGCGAAAGCCUGACGGAGCAACGCCGCGUGAGUGAUGAAGGUCUUCGGAUCGUAAAACUCUGUUAUUAGGGAAGAACACAUGUGUAAGUAACUAUGCACGUCUUGACGGUACCUAAUCAGAAAGCCACGGCUAACUACGUGCCAGCAGCCGCGGUAAUACGUAGGUGGCAAGCGUUAUCCGGAAUUAUUGGGCGUAAAGCGCGCGUAGGCGGUUUUUUAAGUCUGAUGUGAAAGCCCACGGCUCAACCGUGGAGAGUCAUUGGAAACUGGAGAACUUGAGUGCAGAAGAGGAAAGUGGAAUUCCAUGUGUAGCGGUGUAAUGCGCAGAGAUAUGGAGGAACACCAGUGGCGAAGGCGACUUUCUGGUCUGUAACUGACGCUGAUGUGCGAAAGCGUGGGGAUCAAACAGG
rnacentral:rRNA from 1 species